CACGUAGGGAGCAAGCGUUGUCCGGAUUCAUUGGGCGUAAAGCGCGUGUAGGCGGCCAGGUAGGUCCGAUGUGAAAUCUGGAGGCUCAACCUCCAGCGGUCAUUGGAAACCAUCUGGCUAGAGUCCGGAAGAGGAGAGUGGAAUUCCUGGUGUAGCGGUGAAAUGCGCAGAUAUCAGGAAGAACACCAAUGGCGAAGGCAGCUCUCUGGGACGGUACUGACGCUGAGACGCGAAAGCGUGGGGAGCAAACAGG
rnacentral:rRNA from 1 species